CGAGCGAAACGGAAUCAGCCCAAACCAGAAAGCUUGCUUUCUGGGGUUGUAGGACACUCUAUACGGAGUUACAAAGAAACGCUUUAAAUGAAUCGACCUGGAACGGUCAGCCAAAGAAGGUAAGAGCCCUGUAAUUGAAAAAGUGUUUCCUCCAGAGUGGAUCCUGAGUACGGCGGAACACGAGAAAUUCCGUCGGAAUCCGGGAGGACCAUCUCCCAAGGCUAAAUACUUCCUAGUGACCGAUAGUGAACCAGUACCGUGAGGGAAAGGUGAAAAGCACC
rnacentral:rRNA from 1 species